GUGCGGUUCCUGGAGCAGCAGAACAAGGUUCUGGACACCAAGUGGACCCUGCUGCAGGAGCAGGGCACCAAGACUGUGAGGCAGAACCUGGAGCCGUUGUUCGAGCAGUACAUCAACAACCUCAGGAGGCAGCUGGACAGCAUCGUGGGGGAACGGGGCCGCCUGGACUCAGAGCUGAGAAACAUGCAGGACCUGGUGGAAGACUUCAAGAACA
rnacentral:lncRNA from 1 species